rnacentral:rRNA from 1 species
GUACACAAAAAUGCACAUGCUGUGAGCUCGAUGAGUAGGGCGGGACACGUGGUAUCCUGUCUGAAUAUGGGGGGACCAUCCUCCAAGGCUAAAUACUCCUGACUGACCGAUAGUGAACCAGUACCGUGAGGGAAAGGCGAAAAGAACCCCGGCGAGGGGAGUGAAAAAGAACCUGAAACCGUGUACGUACAAGCAGUGGGAGCACGCUUAGGCGUGUGACUGCGUACCUUUUGUAUAAUGGGUCAGCGACUUAUAUUCUGUAGCAAGGUUAACCGAAUAGGGGAGCCGAAGGGAAACCGAGUCUUAACUGGGCGUUAAGUUGCAGGGUAUAGACCCGAAACCCGGUGAUCUAGCCAUGGGCAGGUUGAAGGUUGGGUAACACUAACUGGAGGACCGAACCGACUAAUGUUGAAAAAUUAGCGGAUGACUUGUGGCUGGGGGUGAAAGGCCAAUCAAACCGGGAGAUAGCUGGUUCUCCCCGAAAGCUAUUUAGGUAGCGCCUCGUGAAUUCAUCUCCGGGGGUAGAGCACUGUUUCGGCAAGGGGGUCAUCCCGACUUACCAACCCGAUGCAAACUGCGAAUACCGGAGAAUGUUAUCACGGGAGACACACGGCGGGUGCUAACGUCCGUCGUGAAGAGGGAAACAACCCAGACCGCCAGCUAAGGUCCCAAAGUCAUGGUUAAGUGGGAAACGAUGUGGGAAGGCCCAGACAGCCAGGAUGUUGGCUUAGAAGCAGCCAUCAUUUAAAGAAAGCGUAAUAGCUCACUGGUCGAGUCGGCCUGCGCGGAAGAUGUAACGGGGCUAAACCAUGCACCGAAGCUGCGGCAGCGACACUAUGUGUUGUUGGGUAGGGGAGCGUUCUGUAAGCCUGUGAAGGUGUACUGUGAGGUAUGCUGGAGGUAUCAGAAGUGCGAAUGCUGACAUAAGUAACGAUAAAGCGGGUGAAAAGCCCGCUCGCCGGAAGACCAAGGGUUCCUGUCCAACGUUAAUCGGGGCAGGGUGAGUCGACCCCUAAGGCGAGGCCGAAAGGCGUAGUCGAUGGGAAACAGGUUAAUAUUCCUGUACUUGGUGUUACUGCGAAGGGGGGACGGAGAAGGCUAUGUUGGCCGGGCGACGGUUGUCCCGGUUUAAGCGUGUAGGCUGGUUUUCCAGGCAAAUCCGGAAAAUCAAGGCUGAGGCGUGAUGACGAGGCACUACGGUGCUGAAGCAACAAAUGCCCUGCUUCCAGGAAAAGCCUCUAAGCAUCAGGUAACAUCAAAUCGUACCCCAAACCGACACAGGUGGUCAGGUAGAGAAUACCAAGGCGCUUGAGAGAACUCGGGUGAAGGAACUAGGCAAAAUGGUGCCGUAACUUCGGGAGAAGG